UUACCUAGAAAAUAACAGUAGUUUGUUUACAAGCAAAACUGGAAUUUUGUGAUUUUUAGGGAAAAUGCCAUUAGGCCUUCAAGAGGUGCCCAAUCUGCCAGGGCACCAAGACCCAUCUGCUAGGGCACCAAGGCCAUUAACAAAAUAGCUAAUUAAAUGUAUUUUAAAAACUGGAAAACACUAGCUAUUCUGUUAAGUGUAUGUAAAUGUUGAUCCACAAUUAGCCUACAUGUCAAAGUGUAGGUGAUAGCCUAUGUGUAUUGGCUACAGUUUGUCUUGUCCAGACAGGAGGGAGGUGCCAGAAAAUGUAGCCAGACUUUUAAUUAUUACUGUUCAAAAGUUUGGUGUCACUUAGAAAUGUCCUUGUUUUCCAUGAAAAUAAACAUGAAAUAAGUUGCAAAAUGAAUAGGAAAUAUAGUCAAGAUGUUGACAAGGUUAUAAAUAAUGAUUUUCAAUUGAAAUAAUAAUUUGGCGCAAUGUGCUUUGUGGCUUGGCCUGAAAAAUAAAUGAUGACCUUUUGUAUUGAAGACUAGAGCCCCACCAAUAUGACAUUUUUGGAUCUGAUUUUAGAGUGGAAAUAUUCUCAGAUAACCCAUAUCUGCCAAUAUUUUGAUUAUUAUAGCAAAAAAAAGCUGAUUUCUUAAAUUUGAGUAAAUAACAUUAAUGUAAGCACCACCAGAACGACAAGAUUUUUAACAGAAAAACUGUGUUACUCUAGUGUUACUGAGUCCAGCCCCCAAAAAUGCCUGUGAAGACUGAGCUGCAUCAUGCUAUUGAGCUGGAAAACAACAACAUUUUCAAUGUAUUGGUAUUUAGCUCUGUUUUCAUAGAUUUUUAAGACUGUAGCCACUGAAUCCUGGUAUUUGCCAGUUGAAAGGAAAAAAACGUCAAUCACAAAAUUUGCAGCUGGCACAGCGCUGCCUCUCGCCCCAAGCAUUGCCCGAGUGAACGUUCCUUGCUAUCCGGGAUCAUUAGGACGUCCAUUCCCUCAUUUAAAUGGCAAGCAAAAUGGCUGAAUUGAGUAAAGGGUAUUCUCCUGCUUCUACACAAAACAGUGAAAACUCUGACUCUAUCGCCGACCAUAAGGCCAUUAAAUGCAUUUUAUGUGACAUGUUCACACUCAUCCAAGUGAAGGACCUUUCUGAAAAUUUCACCUGUGUCAAAUGCCACGGGAAAAAUGCUGCAAGAAGAGGAUCAUUACUUUACUUGAGAAAAUUAAAGCUCUGGAUGAGCGUCUGAUUUUGGACGCCUCGCGUUUAACUGCAUUUGUUGAUGCGUCUUUUCCAAGAGACGACUGUAAUGGAACUUAUGGAUCUUGAGCAUUUCCCCACCUUACGGACUUCUGAAAUUAGCGAAAAGUUGGAUGCUAUCAGCUCUACCCGUGGAGGGUGUGAAUGGAGUGUGAUUGGAUCCCGGAGGAGGAAGAGACGCGCACAACAGCGUUCUGGUUUUUCUUGCAGCGUUGUGACAUUAAACUCCCAUUGUUUUGAGCCACUGUCCCCGCUGUCUUCCUCAGGGUGUACGGACACCGGGUACGCAGAUGCUGUAGCUUCUACACUGACGCUGUCUUCCUCAGGGUGUACGGACACCGGGUACGCAGAUGCUGUAGCUUCUACACUGACGCUGUCUUCCUCAGGGCGUACGGACACCGGGUACGCAGAUGCUGUAGCUUCUACACUGACGCUGUCUUCCUCAGGGCGUACGGACACCGGGUACGCAGAUGCUGUAGCUUCUACACUGACGCUGUCUUCCUCAGGGUGUACGGACACCGGGUACGCAGAUGCUGUAGCUUCUACACGGGCGCUGUCUUCCUCAGGGCAUACGGACACCGGGUACGCAGAUGCUGUAGCUUCUACACGGGCGCUGUCUUCCUCAGGGCAUACGGACACUGGGUACGCAGAUGCUGUAGAUUCUACACUGACGACCACCUACACUAUGGGCUCUUGUGUUUAGGGUUCCUGACUUACUUAAUGAUCAAGUUUAUAACGACCUGUUUAGGGUAAAUAUGGACACCCCUGCUGUUUUUAAGUCUUGCAAAGUGCUGGGUUUGUUACAUUUUAAAUGUGCAAAAGUAUGAUAUUAAAUAUGGACUUUGUCAGUGUUCGUGUCGUGCAUCCAGAUAAUCUUUUAUCACAGACUUGGUUAAAUGAUUUGAUCAUGACAUUGACAUUGCUAAUUACAGCAUUUUUUAGUUGUGAUCAGCAGAGAAGGGGUGGCGAUGUACACUACAGUUCAAAAGUUUGGGGUCACUUAGAAAUGUCCUAGUUUUUGAAAGAAAAGCUUUUUUUUGUCCAUUUUAAAAUCAAAUUGAUAAAAAAUACAGUGUAGACAUUGUUAAUAUUGUAAAUGGCUAUUGUAGCUGGAAACGGCAAAUUUUAUUUGAAUGGAAUAUCAAGUUGGCGCUAUUUUAAUAACCAAAAAUGUGCUUUUCUUUCAAAAUCAAGGACAUUUCUAGGUGACUCCAAACUUUUGAAUGGUAGUGUAUGUGAGAAUGCUGUUCAUUGACUACAGCUCAGCGUUCAACAUCAUAGUGCCCAUGAAACUAAUCACUAAGCUAAGGACCCUGGGACUCAACACCUUCCUCUGCAACUGGAUCCUGGACUUCCUGAUGGGCCGCCGCCAGGUGCUAGGGUAGGCAACAACAUGUCUGCCACGCUGAUCCUCAACACUGGGGCCCCUCAGGGGUGUGUACUUUGACCCCUCCUGUACUCCCUGUUCACCCACGACUGCGUGGCCAAACAGGACUACAACGCCAUCCUUUAAGUUUGCUGAUAACACAACAGUGGUAGGCCUAAUCACCGACUGAUGAGACAGCGUAUAGGGAUGAGGUCGGAGAACUGACAGUGUGGUGCCAAGACAACAGCCUCUCCCUCAAUGUGAGCAAGACAAAGGAGCAGAUUGUGGACUACAAAAAAAGGCGGGCCGAACAGGUCACCAUUAAUAUCAACAGGGCUGAAGUGGAGCACGUCGAGAGUUUCAUGUUCCUUAGUGUCCACAUCACCAAUGAACUAUCAUGGUCCAAACACACCAAGACUGUUGUGAAGAGGGCACGACAAAACCUUUAACCCUCAGGAGGCUGAAAAGAUUUGGCAUGGGUCCCCAGAUCCUCAAAGUUCUACAGCUGCACCAUUGAGAGCAUUCUGACCGGUUGCAUCGCCGCCUGGUAUGGCAACUGCUCGGCAUCUGACCGUAAGGUGCUACAGGGGGUAAUGCGUAUGGCCCAGUACAUCACUGGGGCCAAGCUUCCUGCAAUCCAGGACCUUUAUAAUAGGCGAUGUCAGAGGAAAGACCAUAAAAUUGUCAGAGACUCCAGUCACCAGAAGUCAUAGACUGUUUUUCUUUGCUACCGCACAGCAAGUGGUACCGGAGCACCAAGUCUAGGACCAAAAGGCUCCUUAACAGCUUCUACCCCCAAACCAUAAGACUGAACAAUUAAUCAGCUGGCCACCGGACUAUUACAUUGACCCCAUCCCCUCCAAUUAUUUUGUACACUGCUGCUACUCGCUGUUUAUUAUCUAUGCAUAGUCACUUCACCCCUAUCUACAUGUACAAAUGACCUCUAACCUGUACCCCUGCACAUGGACUCGGUACCAGUACCCCUUGUAUAUAGCCUCAUUAUUGUGCUACUUUUGAUUUAUUUUUUCUUAACUCUUCUUGAACUGCACUGUUGGUUAAGGGCUUGUAGGUAAACAUUUCACUGUUUUAUUCGGCACGUGACAACGUUUGAUUUGAUUUGACGAGUUUGUCAGGAAGUUAAGAAUUAAGUUGGGCUUCUUCUAUAAGAAUAGGGCUUGCCUUUCUUUAAAUAGUAGAACAUUUAUAAUUCAGUCUACAUUCAUUCCUGUUAUAGAUGAUGGCUAUAUUAUAUAAGUGAAUGCAGCUACCAGUGUUUUGAAGCCCUUGGACACAAUUUAUCAUAGUGCACUUUGUUUAAUAACAUCUGACAGUUUUGACAGUCACCACUGCAUCCUUUAUCAUAAAGUUGGUUGGACCUCGCUAAAAACACGUAGGUCACUUCCUUAUUCUGUUUUUGUUUAUAAAGCCUUGCUCAAAAAACGACCAAUUUACUUAACAUCAUUGUUGAAAUAUAGAAACCUGUAUUACAACACUAGAGCACAGGGUUGGUUAAUGCUGGAGACUCCACAUGUAUCCACAGAGUUGGGUAAAUCUCAGUGGUGGGCCGUCAGGGCCAGCAAGGCCUUCUCUGCUGGCCUAAACAUCAUCAGAAUAUAAUUAAAAAUAUAUAUAUUUUCCCACAGAUAUGUAUUAAAUUAUUCCCCAGAGUAAGAGUUAUACUCUUCAUUUCAUAGUGUUCCUCUUGGUUGCACUGCUUCCAGCCCCAGGUUGAAAUUUGGAGGGCUGGUCUUUAUGUUAGAUCUUUUAUCCAAUCCUAUUCAGCCAUCAUGUGUUGCCAGGGGUCUAAAAUCUGCCCUCAGGCCUUCAGAAUCAACAGUGCGGGCGCUUGUAUCUUAAAGUGAAUGGAAAUUAAAAUUUAGUGUCAACCAAUCAGCUUUAGAGUUGGCUAUUGUACGCCUGCUGGCUGGCUCCAGUGUUACACAGGAGCCAGCUAGCAGGCGUAGUGCGUGCGCGUCUUUUGAUUGGAUUACUAAUAUUGAGAGGCAGGUCCUAUGGGCAGGUCUAUGCAGAACCUCAGAACUAGGAAACUGAAUUUGAUGAACAAAUUAAUUUGCGUACUACUAAGCUGUUUUUUCAACCCACAAUGGUGGAAGGAGGAGAAGAUAUCGAUUUGGUCGAGGAUAUAAUUAUAAUGCCAUUCUCAAGACUAACUUUUCAAGAAAAGUUAGACAUUGUAAGGAGAGGUUGCCCGACGCUACAAAGCCUGUCACAGGCGGGAAAGGGGUUCGUUCGCCACUUUCAAAGUUCCAACUACGAGCGCUAUCAAUGGCUCACAGGCUCCGAGGAGCACUGCAAACUGUACUGCUGGGAAUGCCUAUUAUUACAAUUGAGCGAGAGAGGCGCAGGUUCAGUCAAAUCUACGAUGACAGCGCGCAUCUCAAGUUCACCCAGCGCACGCAGAGGCCCAGCACAAGGAGACCCUCUUAAAUGUGUAUGUAUGUUUCGCAUUUUAUUUCGUUAAUAUUAAAUAGACUAUAUAUUAACAAAAUAAAAUGGCAAAUAGCCUGUUGCAAAUGAUUUGUUUUCUUUCUUUUAUUUUCAGUGAAUAGUUAUGUCUCUAUCAUCACGGUGAAACUGCUUUGGGUGCGACAAUGCGCUGUUUAGUGAACACAUUAUUUUUUUUGGGGACUUAAAGCUCAAAGUUUGUGGACCAGAAAUGGAUAGAAGAAGAAUAUUAAUAUAACUCUGUUGCACGCGACUAUGUUCUUGCCUAUUAGUUGAACUGUACUGUAUUGUACUCUUCCCCUGCAAUGUCAAUUUCAAGGUGACGCAACACCUGGUUAUACUGCGUUUCUGUCUAAAUGUAUAGUGUCUAGAGCCAUGGCAUCAUAAUGAUGGUAAUAAGAGGUGGAUUAAUUCGGGUGGGACUGUGUAGGACCUCACUGAAGGCCCAGGCCCAUGGCACGCCACUGGUAAAUCUGCCUUUUCCCACCAGGCCCCUGUCAUGUGGAAUGAUCUCCAAGUAAUGUUUCAUUUGGAUGUGUUGUCUCUGGGUCAGUUUAGGAGAAAGGCUAGGGAUUUUUAUAUUGAUGAAUGUGUUUUGUUUUGUUUGAAUGUGUAUAUAAUAUUUGCUAUUUAGUUUUAAAUUGUGUAUAAUUUUAUUCUUUGCAUGGUUCCCAAGGCACAUUUGCAAAUGAGACCUAGGUCUCAAUGUGCUUUCCCUCGCUAAAUAAUAUAUAAAUAAAAAAGGUUUUAAAUGGUUAGGAUUUAUUGUAGUGAUGUCCCAAGGAUUCCACAUAGCAAGAACCCUCAGUGAACAGCGUCAAGUAUUCUCACAUAGCUAGUUAGCUGGCUAGCUAGUAGCACUCAUCAUGGAAAUGGGGGUGGCGAAACGUGAAUUUGGACCAGACCAGUCCCUGACAAGUGUAAAGGAACUCUCCCUUGAAAUGGACAAAAAUGAAUGGGAGCAUAUUGGCACUGUAAGACCAUAUACAUGGUGUCCAAUACCACUCAAUUGGACGUCGUUUCAUUCCAAGUUGAUUGCAAAUGCCAUAUGGCAAAUGCCAAGUGUAACACUGAAAAAAUCCAAUAGAUGGCGAGUGCGCUGUACCGUAAUUUUUCAUAUUGCAAAUGUAACACAAGUCAAGACCAAAGAGUAAAAUUUGAACAUGUUUUCAAAAACGUAUCACCCCCUUCAAAAAGUGCUUUCUGGACCGUUUUACGAAAAUCUUUCGUUUAUUUUUAAAAAUUUAAAAUUUUGGUCAAUUACACAUGUAAAAGAAGUGUAUGAACAUACAUUUGUCAUAUUUGAUUAUUGUAUUUUUUUAUAUUUUACUUGUCCAUAAGGCAUAUGUUUUGUCCAUUUGCAAUAUGGUCAAGCGGGGCGUCUCGUUCUGAGGGCAGCAACCGUGAAUCCCAAGUUUCGGCUCGAUAGGUCAUUCGGUGCCUGAGUAACACUUUAAUUGGUGCUGAUAAUCCACUUUUUCCAUGCCUUGCUACGGGGUCAUUGAAUGAGCUAUCGGACAGAAACAUUGGGGUCUGUCUCAAUGGGCCGAGCCAGUUUCAAUGGACCUACUAGUCUUGCGACUCUGGGACUUUUCUAAAUGUCUUCAUUUUCGUAAUGGUCAAAAUGAAUUGAAGUUAUUGCAAAUGUACGAGGCUGUUUCUCGGUCCAAGAACCUUCUAUAGCCACGUAACUCACCGCACUAUCGACCUGAGGUCUAGAACAGGGUUCUAAAAUUUCAGAACUCUAGGUCUGACGGUUCUUUUUUUUUAGUUCGAACACAGGUAACUAUUGCAGGUACUGUCUGGUCUCUACGCACCAUACUGUGUCCCUCUGUCCUAGCUCUGUCUGUGUGUGUGUGUGAUUUUUUUUUCUUGGAAAUUUUAUGGGAGACAUGGCUGAUUUACAGUUCAUGGGGGUUGCCUAAUCACACAUAUGAAGUUUUGAAAAGAUCUGACCUUUUUAACCCUUCGAAACAGCCCCUAUGACACCAUUUAAGGCACUUCCGGUUGGCACAGGAAGCUAUACAUUUUCCACCAUAAUUUGCAAAUAAAUAAAUAAAAAAUCCUACAAUGUGAUUUUCAGGAUUUUUUUCUCUCAUUUUGUCUGUCAUAGUUGAAGUGUACCUAUGAUGAAAAUUACAGGCCUCUCAUCUUUUUAAGUGGGAGAACUUGCACAAUUGGUGGCUGACUAAAUACUUUUUUUGCCCCACUGUACAUGUGCAUUUGCAGGGAACAACAAAAAAGAAACCAAGCAAAGCAUCACACAGUUCUUCUCCCUAAUUUCUCUUUUCCCUCCUUGUCUCACUCACUCACUUGUGUUCUGACCGCUCCUUCUACACAUGCGUGCUGAGUUUGCACACUGCAUUGCUGCGCUUAUGUUUGUUCUAUAACGCAAUUAGUAGGAAAACACUUUUGUCAAAAGCACACCGCACAUGCAAGUGGUUUAAUUUGGCAGUGAAGAAAACAUCUGUUAGAAAUGUAGAAAUGGGUGAUCUAAAGAUGCAACAACUAGCAUUGGUUAUUAAUGUGACUAGGAUUGUGCCUUUGGAUACUGGACAAUGAAAGAAAGUUGAUUUUGGAAACCAAUAGAACAUGAGAGAAAUUGGUUACUGAUUUCAAUGACAUAAGGAAGUCUUUACAAAAUAAUUGCCUCCAUGUUUACAUAGUAAGACUUGCCUCAUAUUAAGUAAAACAUAUAUAUUUUUUAAGUUUAUGUUUUCAAAAUGCAUAUGGCCUCCAGCUCAUUGCAAAGUGGUGUAUGACUCGCUGAAGCCUGCCUACGUUGCCUAUGUACUUGAAUGACGAAUGGGAAGCGCGCUUCAAUUACCAGUUAAGAAAUAAAAAUAGUAUCUCUGUUUAUUCGUGGCCAUCAAAACAGUUUUUAACACACAAUUGCAUUUAGAAUUGUUGCGCAAUGAUUGGGCUUGUGUUUCAACCCGCGUUGUCAGACAGUUUUUCUCCUCAAACUCUAUCUGUAUAAUUCCACUAAAUUAUGCAGAUUUUUGGUCAAAUACAUUUCGCAUCGACUGGUAUUUUUGUCCAAAAGCUAGCUAUUACCGGCUAACGAAAACCUUGGCUUGCAUGUUUUUGUCUGCUUGUCCAUGUGUGACUGUGUACUUGCACGUUUGUGUGUGCAUACAUCAUGUUUAUCAGGGCACUACACCUCACUUUUCAACUUAGGUGCACACAAAUAAAUGUAGGAACACAAUGCAAAAUAUUUGAGGUAAUGAAGCUAGAAUCCUUAACCCUUUCAUGCGUGAGUUCCAAAUAUCUCUAACGGUCGCCCCAGCGUGAGUUUUUUUUUUAUGCACGUGAUGUUAGAAUGUUCUCUCCAUUCCAGAAUGUGAUUGAUACGUAACAGUACAUUUGAUCCACGCUGCCCUCAAACUAAAGCACGCAGCCUGUUUAUAUUUAUAGGUUGUUUUAACUUCAAUUUCAAAUGAUUUUCAAACAAGUUUUUAUUUUCUAAAAACAGUUUGAAUUUAGGUGUGUUCUGCCUCAUUCAUUCACAUAAAAAUAGUCAUUUUUACUUUUGCGGAUAAUUACAUUUUUGGGACAUUUCUGAAACGGACAAAAUUCCCCAAGCACUUCCCAAUUGUUUGUGCAGUUCACGUCUGCAGACAUUUGCUCAUCUCCCGUCAGAACAGGAUCUGCACACGUGUUCACAUUUUCUAUUCCACAUUUCUAUUGUAGCGUACUGUAUGUAUGGAGCAUAAUAUAUUUGUGUAUAUUCUUUAUCACCGCGGACACGUGAGGUAACGUUACUCAUUUUAUAACCUUUAUGGUGUUAUAGUCAAUCGUGCUUAUGUAGCCACAUUCUUCUAUUAGCUCUGUAAAACAAUGCUAAAUGCGUCAGAGAAGUAUUAUCUUGUGUUGCAUUUUGAAGCUACCAUGGCCUUAUGACUCUCAAGUGGUGCAGCGGUCAAAGGCACAGCACAUCAGUACUAGAGGCGUCACUACAGACUCCCUGGUUCAAAUCCAGGCUGCGGUUCCAUCAAAGUAAGUGCCUUAUUACGUUAUAAUAGUUACAAUAAUAGUUUCCGUAUGCCAUUUCUGCUGUAGCUGUAGAUCAUAAUAUAUUCCUUAUAACUGCGGACACGUGAGGUAACGUUACACAUGUUAUAACCUUUAUGGUGUUAUUGUCAAUCAUGCUUACCUAGCUACAUUAUUCUAUUAGCUCUGUAAAACCAUGCUAGUUGCGUCAGAAAACUAUUAGCUUGUGUUGUAUUUUGAAGCUACCCUGGCCUUAUGACUUCCAAGUGGCGCAGCGGUCUAUGGCACUACAGACACCCUGGUUCAAAUCCAGGCUGUAUCACAACUGGCUGUGAUUGGGCGUCCCAUAGUGCAGCGCACAAUUGGCCCAGCGUUGUCCGAGUUUGGCCGGUGUAGGCCAUCAUUGUAAAUAAUAAUUUGUUCUUAAAUUACUUGCCUAGUUAAAUAAAUAAAAAAUAUGACCAUGGUUUGUUUAUUUGGUCUAUUCAGCAUAGCUCUGUUCUGCCCUGCCUUGCCCCCUUGUGGAGCUCAAAAGUUAAUUUCUUACUGUUAUAACUCAAAUCUGUGAUUUUGUCAAUGCAAUAAACUAUUUUUUUUUAUAGCAGUGUUUAUUAUGUUACUUCUUUGUAGUAUUGUUUUAUUGCUAUAUCCUUAUAUUGUAUUCUAAUGAAUAAUUCCUCUUUAUUCUGUACUUUCAGAAACAUUAUUUGCCAAUAUCAUAACUGGAGCUGGACAUCUUUGGAGCUGAAGAAUGAGGACAGCUUUUGUAUGCUAACGUACACUCCUUAACAGUUGUACUGGAUGAAAACACAGCAAGAAAACACAUAUGCCAAUAUGCAUAGUAUCAUGGCUGCAACAACACUGAAUGGCGCAGAGUGGGAGGUUACGUGGUUGACUGCCGGCACGCGCUACUUGUAUCAAUAAAUCACUAUCAGAAAAUGUUUUGUGUGGUAAUUAUUUGUGUAUUUACGAUUUUAUUCACAUGUUUUCAAUUCUAGGUGACAAAUCAUGCAUUCUGGUUCUUGCACAGAUUGUAAUGGGCACAUAUUAUGUGUGUAAAAUACCUUUUUGAAGGUUGUACUGAUUAUGAUGAGCUAAGCUAAUUCCAGCUGUGUAUCCAUGUUUGUUGACAUACAAUGCAUUCUGGGAUUCACGUCUGUUUGACCAAAGAUGUUAUAACAAAAUGAGGUGAGUAAGAGUUCACAAAUUUUUUGAGGACUUCCGGAAAUUCAUGGUGGGAUGUGAACAACGGUAGAUGACACACCCCUUCAACAUGCAUACUACAAACAGACCAAACUCAUCUCGUCUUCUCUUAUCUUCGGUUUCUGUGAGGAAAAAAUGCAAGGCUGCGCGCUGAAACUAAUGUCGGAUUACUUUCGAUUUCUAUAAAGUGUUUUACCUAGUUAUUUCGAUCAAUGGUGAGCUCACUCACCCGUGAUGUGAUUAAUUAUAUACAGUAAUUGCUAUUAGCUAAUUCAUAUUGUAGUUUACGUCAGCCGAGAGUUAGAAAAUAUGACUGCUUGUGUUGGGUCAAUCUUUCCUCAGCGCUAGGACAAAUGUAGCCUACAUUUUUCCGGUUAGGAUGAUUGUGUUAUGC